UUUGAUGAGAGUUUGAUUCUGGCUCAGGAUUAAUGCUGGUGGUAUGCAUAACACAUGCAAGUCGAACGAAAAAGGCCCUCGGGUCUUUUUAGUGGCAAACGGGCGAGUAACGCAUACUUAACUUACUUAUCUGAGGAAAAUAGCAGCUCGAAAGAGCUAUUAAUAAUCCAUAGGUUUAGGCUAGAGGAACUAGCUUAAAUUAAAGGAGGCUGCCGCAAGGUGGCCUUGCGGGUAAAUAGGAGUAUGUCCUAUUAGAUAGUUGGAGAGGUAAAGGCUCACCAAGUCGAUGAUGGGUAGCUGGACUGAGAGGUUGAACAGCCGCAAUGGGAUUGAGAUAUGGCCCAUAUUCCUACGGGAAGCAGCAGUGAGGAAUUUUUCACAAUGGACGAAAGUCUGAUGGAGCAAUACCACGUGAACGAUGAAGGUCUUCUGAUUGUAAAGUUCUUUUAUUUAGGAAAAAAAGCGCGACAGGAAAUGGUCGCGCCCUGAUUGUACUAAUUGAAUAAGUGACAGCUAACUAUGUGCCAGCAGCUGCGGUAAAACAUAGGUCACGAGCAUUAUCCGGAUUUAUUGGGCGUAAAGGAAGCGUAGGCUGAAGUGUGUAUCCAUUGUUAAAAGUACUUGCUUAACAAGUGUUCGCGGUGGAGAUUACACUUCUAGAAUUAGUUAGAGGGCACUGGAAUUCAAUGUGUAGUGGUGGAAUACGUAGAUAUAUUGAGGAACACCAGAGGCUAAGGCGAGUGCCUGGGACAUAAUUGACGCUGAGGCUUGAAAGCGUGGGUAGCAAAUGGGAUUAGAUACCCCAGUAGUCCACGCCGUAAACGAUGGGUAUUAGUCAUUUGAAUUUAAGUUGAGUGAUGUAGCUAACGCGUUAAAUACCCCGCCUGGGUAGUAUAUAUGCAAAUAUGAAACUCAAAGAAAUUGACGGGGACCUGAACAAGUGGUGGAGCAUGUUGCUUAAUUCGAUCAUACACGCAAAACCUUACCAAGGCUUGCAAUCUUCUGCAAAGCUAUAGAAAUAUAGUGGAGGCUAUCAGAAUGACAGGUGGUGCAUGGCUGUCGUCAGCUCGUGUCUUGAGAUGUUUGGUUAAGUCCCGUAACGAGCGCAACCCUUCAUAUUAGUUGUUUAGUUCUAAUAUGACUGAAUCGUAAGAUCUAGGAAGGAUGGGGCCAAGUCAAGUCAUCAUGCCCCUUAUGCCUUGGGCUGCAAACGUGCUACAAUGGUAGAUACAAUGUGUUACAAUCUAGCGAUAGUGAGUUAAUCACCUAAAGUCUAUCUCAGUCCGGAUAAAAGGCUGCAAUUCGCCUAUUUGAAGAUGGAAUCACUAGUAAUCCUGUGUCAGCUAUAUCAGGGUGAAUACGUUCCCAGGUCUUGUACACACCGCCCGUCAAACUACGAAAGAAAGUACUAAUUAAAACCGUAUUUAAUUACGUCUAGAUUGGUAAUUUUGAUUGGAGUUAAGUCGUAACAAGGUACCCGUACGAGAACGUGCGGGUGGAUAACUUUUUAU
rfam:Mycoplasma suis str. Illinois, complete genome.